rnacentral:rRNA from 1 species
CUAGCAUAUCAUAGCGGAGGAAAAGAAACCAACAGGGAUUGCCCUAGUAACGGCGAGUGAAGCGGCAACAGCUCAAAUUUGAAAUCUGGCUUCGGCCCGAGUUGUAAUUUGCAGAGGAAGCUUUGGGCGCGGUACCAACUGAGUCCCCUGGAACGGGGCGCCACAGAGGGUGAGAGCCCCGUAUAGUUGGACGCCUAGCCUGUGUAAAGCUCCUUCGACGAGUCGAGUAGUUUGGGAAUGCUGCUCAAAAUGGGAGGUAAAUUUCUUCUAAAGCUAAAUACCGGCCAGAGACCGAUAGCGCACAAGUAGAGUGAUCGAAAGAUGAAAAGCACUUUGAAAAGAGGGUUAAAUAGCACGUGAAAUUGUUGAAAGGGAAGCGCUUGUGACCAGACUUGCGCCCGGCUGAUCAUCCGGUGUUCUCACCGGUGCACUCUGCCGGGCUCAGGCCAGCAUCGGUUCUCGUGGGGGGAUAAAGGUCCUGGGAACGUAGCUCCUCCGGGAGUGUUAUAGCCCAGGGCGCCAUGCCCCCGCGGGGACCGAGGACCGCGCAUCUGCAAGGAUGCUGGCGUAAUGGUCAUCAGCGACCCGUCUUGAAACACGGACCAAGGAGUCAAGGUUUUGCGCGAGUGUUUGGGUGUAAAACCCGCACGCGUAAUGAAAGUGAACGUAGGUGAGAGCUUCGGCGCAUCAUCGACCGAUCCUGAUGUUUUCGGAUGGAUUUGAGUAGGAGCGUUAAGCCUUGGACCCGAAAGAUGGUGAACUAUGCUUGGAUAGGGUGAAGCCAGAGGAAACCCUGGUGGAGGCUCGCAGCGGUUCUGACGUGCAAAUCGAUCGUCAAAUCUGAGCAUGGGGGCGAAAGACUAAUCGAACCAUCUAGUAGCUGGUUACCGCCGAAG